UACGGAGGGGGCUAGCGUUAUUCGGAAUUACUGGGCGUAAAGCGCACGUAGGCGGCUUUGUAAGUUAGAGGUGAAAGCCCAGGGCUCAACCCUGGAAUUGCCUUUAAGACUGCAUCGCUUGAACAUCGGAGAGGUAAGUGGAAUUCCGAGUGUAGAGGUGAAAUUCGUAGAUAUUCGGAAGAACACCAGUGGCGAAGGCGACUUACUGGACGAUUGUUGACGCUGAGGUGCGAAAAGCGUGGGGGAGCAAACAGG
rnacentral:rRNA from 1 species